rnacentral:lncRNA from 1 species
AGUGGGCUAGUUUAAUUGGGAAAUUUCACACACCAGCCAGAGAAAAUACAUCUCAAAACUAUUUCUGAGUAGUUCCAGAAUCUAUCCUUUUUUUCUUGUUUUUUUGUCACAAUCUUACAAUCUUAUACUCUUGCUUUCUGGAAAAUCAUGAUAAACAUAAGUGAGCUUUUAUCGUAUGUAUACAACCACCCCCCCACACACAAAAAAACUAAAACAAAAGAAAAUGGAGGAAGUACCAAGAAUUUAACCAAACUUAGAUAAUAGCCACCAUAUCUAACAAUAUGGCACAUAAUUUUCUAUGCACAGAUAUUUCCACCCUCAAUUAUAAUGGAUUUUUCAAAGACAUAAAGCUUUAUGAAAAGACACAUAUCAUCUGAUUCAUGAGUACAUUCACUAACUCAGCUGUUACUCAAUGGUGUUUAAUAAUUGGUGAGUAGCAGGUAAUAAAUCAUUCAGUCUAGAUAGAUGGAGAGGCAAAAUCAGGGACACUAUGGUAUUUCCUUUAGUAAGACACAUGUGAUAAAUGAAGAAUAAACUGAUGAAGACUUGAACUGGAAGGUUGUAGAUGGGAAAGACAAGAAAUGAUUGUGUAUAACACAUGUACGUAAAUAUCUACCAAAAAUUGGUAGAGAUUGCCAUGUAUACCUAGAAUCUCAGCACAAGGCCAGCCUCUGUUACAUGGUGAGUUAGAGGCUAGCCUGAGCUACAGGAGAUCCUACAUCAAAGGACCAAAGGAGAAAUUGGUUCAAACUGUUAACACCUUAAGGGAUAGUUAUAUAAACAGCAGUUUGACUGAUACAUUGAGUGCUUGAUUCUUUAAUAAAACUACAUGAAUAACACUGAGGGGGAGGGAAGAAGUAAUGUAGAAGUCUGGUGGUGGAAGAGUAGUGGAGACAAGUUAAAACUCAGUUUUAGACUUUUGUUCUGAGAUGAGUAUAAGAGUGAUCAUUAAAUAAGGAGGGAAGACACCAGGAGAAUUAUUUUGUGAUAGAACUAAGGCAGUCAAACUCCACAUGCCUAUACUUAGAAGGGGAAAGUAAGGAUCAAAGUAGAAAGCCUAACAAUUAGUCAGAAGAGCAUAUUACAUCAGGCAGCAGAAGCCGAUAGUGGAGAAAAGUUAAACAAGGAGAAAAUAAUUAACUACAUUGACUUGGGAAAGAGAAGAGAAAAUGGCAAGUCUAAAUGAAUGCAAACUCUGAAAGGGGAUUUCCCAGAGGGUGUGGGCUGAGGACCAGAACAUUUGCAAAAGAGUUGAGAGAUUAAAAUAGAAGAUCCUUGUAGUUAGACUUUUACCUUUAGGUUAAGGAGCAGGGCUCAGACUCUGGAGACCAACAAGAAUAUAAGGACAGAAUGGAAUUAAGGUCAGACUGGGGAAAGCAGCUUUUUGCUCAGGCUGCAGAUGUCCCGUUUUCAAAUAAAGCUCAAAAGCCCUAGGUUUGGGAGAAGAAGAGAGAUGGAUCCUGAGAAUGGAUGGUCAGGGAUGGUAUGGGGUAACUUGGCAAAACUGCACUCUUCUGUCCAGUGUAUAGGAUUUGUGACAGUAUUCUUACAUGCAUCGUCUCAUGCACCCUAUUAAAUGUCUUUACACAAACUUCAAA